UGCAGUCGAGCGGCAGCGCGAGAGAGCUUGCUCUCUUGGCGGCGAGUGGCGGACGGGUGAGUAAUAUAUCGGAACGUGCCCAGUAGCGGGGGAUAACUACUCGAAAGAGUGGCUAAUACCGCAUACGCCCUACGGGGGAAAGGGGGGGAUCGCAAGACCUCUCACUAUUGGAGCGGCCGAUAUCGGAUUAGCUAGUUGGUGGGGUAAAGGCUCACCAAGGCAACGAUCCGUAGCUGGUUUGAGAGGACGACCAGCCACACUGGGACUGAGACACGGCCCAGACUCCUACGGGAGGCAGCAGUGGGGAAUUUUGGACAAUGGGGGAAACCCUGAUCCAGCCAUCCCGCGUGUAUGAUGAAGGCCUUCGGGUUGUAAAGUACUUUUGGCAGAGAAGAAAAGGUAUCCCCUAAUACGGGAUACUGCUGACGGUAUCUGCAGAAUAAGCACCGGCUAACUACGUGCCAGCAGCCGCGGUAAUACGUAGGGUGCAAGCGUUAAUCGGAAUUACUGGGCGUAAAGCGUGUGUAGGCGGUUCGGAAAGAAAGAUGUGAAAUCCCAGGGCUCAACCUUGGAACUGCAUUUUUAACUGCCGAGCUAGAGUAUG
rnacentral:rRNA from 1 species